rnacentral:miRNA from 1 species
AGACCAACUAGUUAGUUCUGGUAUGAGCUUGUGUAAGCACACUUCUUCAGAUACCUGAAGAAGUAUCUGAAGAAGUGUGCUUGCACACGAAAGCUCAUACCAAGAACUAACUUAGUUGG